GUCUUGCUGUUGGCAUGGCAACAAGUUUGCUUGCCAAGCUCUAAGAUCCCGAGGGAAGGGAAAGGAGGAUGGAGUAUUGCUUUUAAAGAUAUCUGAACAGAAGGAAGAAUGGAACUUGCCGUUUUCAAUCCUGGAGAGCAGGAUGCUCGGUGAAACAAGCCAGGCACACCAAGACCAGGGUUGAAUAUUCUCCCUUACAUGGGAUCCACAUAAGUAGAUCUCUUCAACACGGAGAGUAGAAUACUGGUUACUGGAUACCAGAAGGGGAGCAAGGAUUGGAAGAGGAAAUAAUAGGCAAAGGUCGGUUACUGGGUGCAAAAAUACAGGUGUCUCACUAAACCUGAAGCUCCCCACUCUUUGGGGAGACUGUUGGUCAGCCAGCCCCAGCAACCCUCUACAUCCCUAGUACUAGAGUACAAGUGUGCAUGGCCAUGCCAGACUUUUGACCCAAGAGCUGAGAAUCCAAGGCUUAGGUCCUCAUGCUUGUGCAAGUAAGUGUUCUUCCCCACCGAGUCAUUGCCAUGGUCCAGUUUGUUUUUUAAAAUCAUGGUCAUUUUCUUCCUUGUCUUUUAGAGUCCAUCCCACAGAGAUGAAUUUAACACCUAAGUAAGUGUGUGUUCUCCGUGAGGAAUUUAGUGCCACAGUUGGAGUCCCUUUGCACAGAUUUCAGGUUUAUAUUCUGAAUACUGGGCAGAUAUCCAAAGACCUUCAAAUGCCUACCUCUGGACUCAGGUGGGAAAACGGGAAAUUGCCCUGGAGCGGAUUCUACAGUGAGCUGCGCAGCUAGUCUUUCCAGACUAAUGGCUCUAUCCACUCAGUUGUGGGAGCCUUGGCGCCUGAGCCCAACAGUGAGGGAUGGGUCUUUUCUAGGAGCUGCCCAGUCAGAAGCAAAUUGUCAAGCAGAUUCUUCCUCUGGAGCAGGCUGCACUGCAGGUGUCUGGUCACAGGAGGGAAGAAAGCUCUUGUCUAAGAGUCUCAGCUGGAAUACCUCUGAAGACCUACCCAAGCUAUGGAGCACCUCAUAGAAUGCUUUCAAAGCUUUCAAGGAAACUGCAUGGCACCUCAACCACCCUUUGGCUUGACCCCCUUUCCCUUGUGCCUAGGUGACGCCCCCACCAAUGGCCUCUGAACAAGAAUCUCAGUUCAUUCAUUCCCCAUGGUCAACACACACACACACACACACACCACUUGACCUACAGCAACUCCCACCACCAGCUGUAGUUCCGUGCCAUCUAGCAGGAUUGGACGUUCCUAUUGUUUGAACCUGAGGAUCGGCAGCAUGUCUCUUAUCUGUAACUCUUCACCAUCUUCGGUGGCCUCUGCUGUUCGCAGCGCCUGAAAUAUGGCAGGAGUCUACCCCUUCGCAUGCUCAGAGCCCUCUCAUGCGAGGAACUGCAGGAAACACUGCAUGCCCCAUCUCAUUUCACCACUGGUAUCUCAAGGGAGAGGUGCACUGGCUCUGGGAUGUUGUUUUGUUAUACUGUGUGGGUUUUACUUGCUUUCUUCUUUUUAUACAAAGUAGCCAAGGCUCUGAGAAAUCAGCUUGCCCGAAGGUGCACAGCUAUUUGAGCGAAGCUUAACUAGACUCUAGGCAACCUUAACUCUAAAACCAGUGCCUCUGAUUCCGCACGUACUUCUUUCCCCUGCUCUGUCCAGCGCUUCUCCUACAGCCUUUCAUUUCUAUCAUCUGCACUCAUUCUCGUGCCUGCUGUGUCUGUUCCUCUCACAAUCCUGGACCGCUGCUGUGUCUGGAUGUCAUGUACUCAUUUGCACAAAGUCUGGCUGUCCCAUCAGACCUAAUCUCCACACACGCACUUCCGUUUGCUCAGGGUUUUCUUUCAGGGCCAUGCAAGGUGUGAUUUCCAAAGCAAUUAUCUGAAUUUCCAAAGAGGUUCACUUAGAUUUUCUUCAUUAAUUCUGAAGUAGUUAAAACUGAUAUCCUGCAUGUGAACACAGACACCUCUUGCCAUUUCUCAAGCAUCCUCAUCUCGCACACACUGAUAAAGAGGCCUCAGAUAGAUGUCAUAUCCUCUGGGAGUAUGGAAUUGUGGAUUCUGAUUAGGGUAAGGAAACCGGCUGGAGGAACAACCGUGUGCCUGAGGAAGUAUACCUCUCAAUGUAACUGCUGCGUGGGCAGGAGCCCCACCGAGAAAGUAGCAUUUGAGAAAAUACAGGAGACAAGGAAAUGGUCCAGGGCUCUCUUCAGGAAAGGGGCACCUUCAAAGAGUUCUUGGGCCAAAAGGUUGCUCCGCCUCCACCCAAAGAUGCUAAGGGGUCAGCUGAGAGGAGGUCCGAGACUUGACUAUUGGACUGGCAGUACAGAGGCCACUAGUUACUUUGCCAGUGGUACCCUUCAUGAGGUGGACAUGGAAGCUCAUAUGAGCUAGACUAAGGGGGUCUUAGGAAGAACAGGAGGAGGACUUGGAGAUAGCUGAGGAGGCUAACUCUUCCUGUGCAGCUCUUCUGCACAAGGAAAACUCAUGGUCUUAACUGAACAUAAAUAAUCAAGAAGAGACCUUUCUAAGGUAAGACUUCAAAAAAAAAAGAUAGUUGGAUGCUGCAGGGACUGGUAUGAUGGAGGGAAAUGAAUAAAGAAGGUGUGAGGAAUAGAACAGUCAGUGUCUUGACACAUCAGGGAAAUGGCACAUGAUGGGCAUAAAGACAAGGAGAAAAACAGGCUGUCUAGAGGGCUGGUGGGAUGGGAUGACCCCAGCCAGUAGACAGCUGGGAUCCUGGCUGUCUCGGUAAAUGUAACUUUCAAGAACAAUGGAGCUUUAAACUCUAGAAUUUUAAUAUUUUGGUGAAGUACAUACUCUGGGCUCAUGGAAGAGACCAGAAAUAGCCAAAAAAACAAAAAAACAAAAACAAAAACGAAAACAAAACAACAACAACAACAACAAAAAGCCUGUCUACUUCAACUAUUAACUCCUGCACACACUUCCUCCUCUUCUCCCCACUUCCUCCACAUCUGUGUAGAGGCUCCUACCCAGAUUAUCAUUCAUCUCUGUCCACAGACAUGCCUACAUAGAGAAGAAAAGAGCUGGUAACACGAGCCGGUUACCUGUGUUGCCGCCAAUCUGCCAGGGUGAUUGCACAGGUUAGCUCUGGCUUUUCUACAGCAGCCCCAUGAACUCAGGAGUCCUUCAUCAUUUCCAGAAAGAUGGCCGCCUCCCAGCCGUAUACCUGGGAGUCGUGUCCAGAGGUCAGGCAGCAGCGGGUGAAGACCAGUGUGCACAACUCUGUGGUGGCCAUGUGUGAAGAGGAGAGCCCAUUUUCUUACAAUCUAGCAACAAUUAGCCAACUAUCCCACUGAUCAUAACUCAUCUCUGUUCAUAGAUGUGCCUACAGAGAAGCGAAGAGCUAGUUACACGAGCUAGAUAUAUGACAAAAAACACCCUGCUGGACAUUGGCAACUACCAGAGCCAGACUCUGAAGUGCAUUGGCCUUCCUGUCCAGAUCUUACUCUCCCCAAGAGCUGUAUAAGCGUCCUCUUUCUCCGGGAAAUGGUCAACAGCUCCAACCUAACCUGGAUUCUCCUUCUGCAGAGCAACAUGGCGCUCCCUGUCUGCUACACACGCUGUGAUGCUACACAUGUGUUUUACUGAACAACCCACUCUGCAUAUUAUUCUCCCCAGUGGUCGUGGAAACUUGUUAAGCAUGACCAGCUCAAUGUUGCCCUAGGAUUGGUCCUGCAGAAUACCAGCUGGCCACGGAGAAGCCUGCCCCCUCACUCUUCUUCAAUCUCUUGUUCAGUACUCUUAGUGAUCUGUGUCUUCUAAUGAUGAAUUGGUUGGAAACUUCCCUUUCUUCCAAUGUGACUUCUUUGCUAUGAAUCCUUUCCUUCUGGAGUUUGGGGGAGGGGGGCGCUCCUCACAGCUCCAUCAGACCUAGCGCAAGGGCAUCCUUCCCUUAGACUUGUGUGUAAACUCACUCUCACUUGGAGCUAUGAGGUUGGCCUCCAGGUAGGAGAAGGAGGAGCAAAGUAAACAAAGGUAUAUCCCUUUUGUUGCACUGUC